rnacentral:rRNA from 1 species
CCUACGGGUGGCUGCAGUGGGGAAUAUUGGACAAUGGGGGCAACCCUGAUCCAGCCAUGCCGCGUGUGUGAAGAAGGCCCUCGGGUUGUAAAGCACUUUCAGUGAGGAAGAACGCCUGGUGGUUAAUACCCAUCAGGAAAGACAUCACUCACAGAAGAAGCACCGGCUAACUCCGUGCCAGCAGCCGCGGUAAUACGGAGGGUGCGAGCGUUAAUCGGAAUUACUGGGCGUAAAGCGCGCGUAGGUGGCUUGAUAAGCCGGUUGUGAAAGCCCCGGGCUCAACCUGGGAACGGCAUCCGGAACUGUCAAGCUAGAGUGCAGGAGAGGAAGGUAGAAUUCCCGGUGUAGCGGUGAAAUGCGUAGAGAUCGGGAGGAAUACCAGUGGCGAAGGCGGCCUUCUGGACUGACACUGACACUGAGGUGCGAAAGCGUGGGUAGCAAACAGGAUUAGAUACCCGAGCAGUC